CUGGGCUGUGUGUUGGCGUAUCCUGGUGGGGGUGGUUGAUGAGCCGCCGGCGGGGUGCCUGGGCCAGUGUGGGAAGAGGUCGUCGAGUCCGGGUGGCACCGGAAUGGGUCCGGAUGCCAUCGAGAUGAGGGCGGCGGGGGUCGGAUGUUGCGGAGGUGCCCCGGCCGACACGCGCCACCUCUGUCAAUUCAUCUGUGGAAGGAAGCUAUGGAGACAGCUUUGGGGCCUUCCUGCUUCUUCUGUCCUUUUUUAUGUAUGCUGUGUUCUACAGUUUCCAUGUCCAUGUUCUAACUGCGAUUUGUUUCUUUCAGAUGGAUGGAUGGAUGGAUCUGCUACGAAAUACGAAGUUCAUCAGCUGCAACAACAGGACGAGCUAAAUUGGUGACUUUUUAUAAGAUCCGGGAACAAGCAUGUUAAUUGGGGAUAUAAUAUGUCGGGGAUAUCAUAUCAGCAGUAAAUUUGUUAUUUACUUUCUUUGUAUGGUCAUCUACGCAUCUGUUCUCAAUACAUCUUCUUGCACCUUCAGUCAGCCUUCAAGCAGCGAUGUCUUUCGAUAUUAACGUCGUUAAUACACUGAUCGGGUUGGGUUCUGAUUCUUACCAUUUCAGGCUUUCAGCUGAGGAG
rnacentral:lncRNA from 1 species